AUUGAACGCUGGCGGCAGGCUUAACACAUGCAAGUCGAGCGGAGAUGAGGUGCUUGCACCUUAUCUUAGCGGCGGACGGGUGAGUAAUGCUUAGGAAUCUGCCUAUUAGUGGGGGGCAACAUUCCGAAAGGAAUGCUAAUACCGCAUACGCCCUACGGGGGAAAGCAGGGGAUCUUCGGACCUUGCGCUAAUAGAUGAGCCUAAGUCGGAUUAGCUAGUUGGUGGGGUAAAGGCCUACCAAGGCGACGAUCUGUAGCGGGUCUGAGAGGACGAUCCGCCACACUGGGACUGAGAGACGGCCCAGACUCCUACGGGAGGCAGCAGUGGGGAAUAUUGGACAAUGGGCGGAAGCCUGAUCCAGCCAUGCCGCGUGUGUGAAGAAGGCCUUUUGGUUGUAAAGCACUUUAAGCGAGGAGGAGGCUACCUGGAUUAAUACUCUAGGAUAGUGGACGUUACUCGCAGAAUAAGCACCGGCUAACUCUGUGCCAGCAGCCGCGGUAACAC
rnacentral:rRNA from 1 species